UGUGUAGGCGGGUAUUUAAGUCAGUGGUGAAAUCUCCGAGCUCAACUCGGAAACUGCCAUUGAUACUAUUUAUCUUGAAUAUUGUUGAGGUAGGCGGAAUAUGUCAUGUAGCGGUGAAAUGCUUAGAUAUGACAUAGAACACCGAUUGCGAAGGCAGCUUGCUAAACAAUUAUUGACGCUGAGGCACGAAAGCGUGGGGAUCAAACAGGAUUAGAUACCCUGGUAGUCCACGCCCUAAACGAUGAUUACUGGACAUUUGCGAUAUACAGUGAGUGUCUGAGCGAAAGCAUUAAGUAAUCCACCUGGGAAGUACGUCCGCAAGGAUGAA
rnacentral:rRNA from 1 species